rnacentral:rRNA from 1 species
UCAGGACGAACGCUGGCGGCGUGCCUAAUACAUGCAAGUAGAACGCUGAAGAGAGGAGCUUGCUCUUCUUGGAUGAGUUGCGAACGGGUGAGUAACGCGUAGGUAACCUGCCUUGUAGCGGGGGAUAACUAUUGGAAACGAUAGCUAAUACCGCAUAACAAUGGAUGACACAUGUCAUUUAUUUGAAAGGGGCAAUUGCUCCACUACAAGAUGGACCUGCGUUGUAUUAGCUAGUAGGUGAGGUAACGGCUCACCUAGGCGACGAUACAUAGCCGACCUGAGAGGGUGAUCGGCCACACUGGGACUGAGACACGGCCCAGACUCCUACGGGAGGCAGCAGUAGGGAAUCUUCGGCAAUGGGGGCAACCCUGACCGAGCAACGCCGCGUGAGUGAAGAAGGUUUUCGGAUCGUAAAGCUCUGUUGUAAGUCAAGAACGAGUGUGAGAGUGGAAAGUUCACACUGUGACGGUAGCUUACCAGAAAGGGACGGCUAACUACGUGCCAGCAGCCGCGGUAAUACGUAGGUCCCGAGCGUUGUCCGGAUUUAUUGGGCGUAAAGCGAGCGCAGGCGGUUUGAUAAGUCUGAAGUUAAAGGCUGUGGCUCAACCAUAGUUCGCUUUGGAAACUGUCAAACUUGAGUGCAGAAGGGGAGAGUGGAAUUCCAUGUGUAGCGGUGAAAUGCGUAGAUAUAUGGAGGAACACCGGUGGCGAAAGCGGCUCUCUGGUCUGUAACUGACGCUGAGGCUCGAAAGCGUGGGGAGCGAACAGGAUUAGAUACCCUGGUAGUCCACGCCGUAAACGAUGAGUGCUAGGUGUUGGAUCCUUUCCGGGAUUCAGUGCCGCAGCUAACGCAUUAAGCACUCCGCCUGGGGAGUACGACCGCAAGGUUGAAACUCAAAGGAAUUGACGGGGGCCCGCACAAGCGGUGGAGCAUGUGGUUUAAUUCGAAGCAACGCGAAGAACCUUACCAGGUCUUGACAUCCCGAUGCUAUUUCUAGAGAUAGAAAGUUACUUCGGUACAUCGGUGACAGGUGGUGCAUGGUUGUCGUCAGCUCGUGUCGUGAGAUGUUGGGUUAAGUCCCGCAACGAGCGCAACCCCUAUUGUUAGUUGCCAUCAUUCAGUUGGGCACUCUAGCGAGACUGCCGGUAAUAAACCGGAGGAAGGUGGGGAUGACGUCAAAUCAUCAUGCCCCUUAUGACCUGGGCUACACACGUGCUACAAUGGUUGGUACAACGAGUUGCGAGUCGGUGACGGCAAGCUAAUCUCUUAAAGCCAAUCUCAGUUCGGAUUGUAGGCUGCAACUCGCCUACAUGAAGUCGGAAUCGCUAGUAAUCGCGGAUCAGCACGCCGCGGGUGGAAUACGUUCCCCGGGCCUUGUACACACCGCCCGUCACACCACGAGAGUUUGUAACACCCGAAGUCGGUGAGGUAACCUUUUGGAGCCAGCCGCCUAAGGUGGGAUAGAUG